rnacentral:rRNA from 1 species
UACGAAGGGGGCUAGCGUUGCUCGGAAUCACUGGGCGUAAAGGGUGCGUAGGCGGGUCUUUAAGUCAGGGGGGAAAUCCUGGAGCUCAACUCCAGAACUGCCUUUGAUACUGAAGAUCUUGAGUUCGGGAGAGGUGAGUGGAACUGCGAGUGUAGAGGUGAAAUUCGUAGAUAUUCGCAAGAACACCAGUGGCGAAGGCGGCUCACUGGCCCGAUACUGACGCUGAGGCGCGAAAGCGUGGGGAGCGAACGGG